GCUCCAGUGGCGCAGUCGGUUAGCGCAUGGUACUUAUAAUGCCGAGGUCGUGGGUUCGAUCCCCACUUGGAGCA